GAGAUUCUAAUGAAUGAAGAAUUGACAGAAGUGCACAUAUAGCCAGAGGUUGUUUGAAUGUUUUUAUUUCAGUUUGCCACCUGCAAAAAUUUGCAGAUUUUUGAAUCUGUGUUUUUACAUUUUUAUUACUUAUUAUAGGUUGACUAAGGCAAACUCAGUUUCCUGCACCUAUUCCUUAAACCAUAGUUCUGUUUUAUCUUUGCUAUUUUAAGAAACCUUGAUGUUUCUUCUCCCCCCCCCACUCCCCAAUAUCUAUUUUUCUACAAAGAGGAUACAGUGGGUCUCUGAUCACUUUUCUUGGGCUUCUGUAAAAUCUUGUACACUGAAAAGUUAAAACAGGAAAUCAUGGGAAAGUGGGACGAGACAGCAGAUAAAGAAAGCAUCAUGAAAGAAACACAGAAGGCUUGACACUUCUUUUCUUUGUGUCACAAUGAAGUAAUAACUCUGAUGGAUACCGUAUCAUUGGCAGCUCACUUCAGGAAGUUUAAACUAAUUUAUAAUAACGUAUUAGAUGUCUGCUUGACAGAAUGCAGGGAAUAGGCAAGAUCACUGAGGUCCCAGAAAUAGCACAUAAUCUGGAAAUAGCUAGCUGGGGAAUUACCACUACCUAAACUAUCAAAAGGGCAAAGUUCUCUCAGGGCAUGUCCAUUCAACCACCUUUCUGUACUCCUGGAUUGGUGCCGUCGAAGUAUAUAGGGUAGAAUAAAUGCCUAUCAACAGCCAGGAAACUUCACCUAUUAGAAACAGGAAGAAAACUGUGUGUAAUCACACACUUCAGGUGUGUUUAAACUGAAUGGUACCACCAGUGAUUGAAGCAUUGUAAGUUCUACAGGAAUUGAAACAAUCCUACAGUAAAGCUAUGCUGAUGUGCAGGAUACAGUGCAACCUUGAAGUAGCUGGGUGUGCUUCAUUCCAUGAAAACGAAAAGUAAACUGGACAUCUCUUGGCACAUAUGACAGAAGGGUCAACGCUUUUUGCAGGCCCUUUAAAAACUCUUAGCAGUUUGUACAGUUUGUAUGCAUGUGUUCAGAGGCCAUAAAGCAGACCCCAGGGUUCAGAGUUCAGGAACUCUGUGAAUUAAUCACAUCUUUUAAAUUUCAGAAAAUGACACUGACGGGGCAGAAUCUCAAUAUAUAUAUCAAAAGGGGAAAUAUUUAACCCGUUUUCUUAGGAAUAACAUUAAAAAUGAAAAUGAAGCUUAACUAGUGUGGAUAGGGUUGAUGGGCCAAAGUUCAAUACUCUUAUCAGCCACAAAAAAUUCAGUAGUUAGCAUUUCCUAGAUCAUUAUCCAUCAGCCUGACUUAGUUAUAAAGAUUAUUCUGAAUGCUGAGGAGAAGUAUUAAAAGUUAUCAAAUUAGUAGUUCGUCAAAAUUCCUAAAAAGCUUUGGAAAAUUAUAUCUUUAUCAGUAUCUUGUUUAUCAUUAUAUUUAGCCACUGUUCUCUCACCUUUGUUUUGGCAUUAGCCCUUUUCAUCAAUCUGUUCUAGCACUGAUCAUGGUUGCUGUAUUAGGGUCUUAAGCAAGAGACCACUUACAUUUUUUAUGGCAGAGUUUUAUGACUCACAGUGACACUGAACUGUUCAAAUUUCCUCUGCUGGGAGCUUUCCUCACUCCAGGAGAAGAAAUUAAUUAAUCAGUGUAUUAUCCGCCAACGUGCCCAGAAAACAUAUCUGAUUAAAUUCAUGUAGUAAAGUUUUGCAAUCACUGCCUACAUUAACUAUUGAUUAAAUGAAAGCUUGGUAAGCACUCACUUGUGUUACAGGUUUAUUAUUUAUUUCUCUACUUGCCAGUUUUGAUGCUGGUGCUGGUGCUUUAAUUAACAAACACACUUCUGAAAGUGUUCCUAUAUAUGAUAUGGAAGAUGAACAUUCUCCCUCGGACUCUAUUCAAAGCUGCCCUUCCAGUGUUUUCUCAUCACCGAAAGGCAGCUUUGCACUUCAUACUAGAAUGGUGCACAAGAAAGGGAGGUGCAAAAAGUCCCAUCACUUGCAGAAGCAUGAAAAUGACUUCAGAACCACAGCGUUUCAGGAACUAUUGUGUGGAUGUAUAUAGAAAAGCACAUUCUUCUCUCCCCCCCCUUUUUGCUCAAACCCAAUGUAUAAAACUAGAUUUUAGGACUAUGGACUUUGAGUUGAUGAAUUAAUCAACUCAUUGGUUCCAGCUUUUAUUGGUAAGAGCACAUUUUAAUCAGUGCUUGAGAUGUACUUAAAAAAAAUUAAAUGAAACAAAAACAUAAUAUUCUGUAUUCUACCAAUGGCCUUGGGAAAUAAGGAAACACAAUCAAUUAUAACAGAAUCUUCACUUCCUAGGAAAAACACUCUUCAUCUUCAGACUUUUUUUUUUACAGAAUAUACAUCCAACAAGGUUUUUUCCCAGCCAGUUUCCGAUGGAUUUAGACAUUCAGAAGUAGGUUUUAACCUCACCUCCCACAGAUUGAUGUGUGUGCAAGGCCAGAACUGUUUUGCAUGCAAGGUGCACUGUUUGACCAUCCCAAUGUGAGAUCUCUGAAAUUUGAAAGCCAAUGCUUUAGAGAAGCUGGUAGUAUCAGAGAGGGAGUUCUAACAUCAGAUCUCAGUUUCCAGUGUCAGGGGUAGAGCACAUCUCUUACAUCCUCUGAAAUACUGUCCUGGAGACCAUAAGAUUUCACCCUAAAGCUGGAAUUUUCAUUCUAUGUUUAGGGAAGUUAAACUGUUGUAAGAUCCACUUCUUAACCACCAGGAAAGUGCAACUUUCUAAGACAAAUAUCAGAUACAAGCAGAAAAUCAUAAUGAUGCUAAUUUAAUCUUGAUGUAUUGUAAGUUGAGAUUUAUUGUGCUCAGCUUUGAUAAUUGGCAAGAAGAAAUGAGAGUCUAGUUUCCUAUUAAUUACCUGCUACACAUUUCAACCACUUAAUAAAUGCAAGAACUAGUCAUAUUCAUGCAUCUGUUGGUAGGGCGGGUAGCCGUGCAGCCAUCAAGAAAGAGUAGAAAAUGAGUAAGACAAAGUAUUAACUUGCCAAAAUUGCACAUCUUUCCAUCUACGGAAGCCUGGAAUUUUCAGAAAGCUGAUAUGCAUAAAUUAGCAGCACCACAUAAGGAAGCUCUAAUUUACAAAGUCACUACAGACCCAAUUAUUUUUUUAUAGCGAAAAAAGAAAGAAAGAAAAGUGUUUUGCCCCCACAAAGCAAUAAUGCAUAUUAGUGCAUCCCUGAUUUAACUCUUCAUUUGAAUAGGCUCAACAAAAAAGGUUGUGAAGGCUUACUAAAAGCUACCUUUAAAUAGGAAAGCUAUUUAUACGUGCUAUAUCAUUUCUAAGUGUUAUUGAUAACAGAAGUGUUUUUUGUGUGUUUUAUUUUCUACUAAUACUGACUUCUUACAAAAAUUAGUGAAAUUGAACAUUGUGAUCUUGUAAGGCUGUGUCCUAACUCCAGCAAUCUUUUUUUUUAUUAUAAGAUAUUUAUUAAAGUUUCAAAAAAAAAGUUACAAUAAUAAUAAUAAUAAAAAGAAUAAUAAAAAAAGAGAAUACAAAAAAGUAAAAACAAUUAAAAACAAAUCAAUCUUUCCAUAUCUUGUCUUUCAUUCACUUGUUUAUAAGGAGUAUGUAAAAAUGGACUGCUAACAGAUGAGAAUAUACAGUUAUUACAUAUUAAGACAAAGGACUAAGAUAAAAACAAAGAGGGAAAGGAUUUGCUGAAUUAACUUACUGAACUGGAAUACAAAAAGGGGAGGUGUGAGGAGGUCGGGCUAAAUCCAGCAAUCUUAGAUACAUUUAUUGAACUGGAUUCUUCUCUGAGAACCAAUAUAUCUUUGUUACAUAUAUUUAGGCACCAGACAAAAGCAUUCCACCUUUCCCAGGCCUUUGGCUAAUUAAACAAUAUAUGGCCCUUUAAACUGUGUGUUUGUGCGCGUGGUUAUUGUUUUUGUUUGUUAUUAUGUUAUUCAUUUUUAUAUUGUAAACUGCCCUGUGAUCUUUGGAUGAAGGGCAUUAUAGAAAUUAGAUUGAUUGAUUGAUUGAAUAUAGGUCUGAUCACUUUUGAAUGGCUUAGAUUUUUUGGGUUAACCCCCACCCCACCCCCACCUAACCAACUACUGCUAUUUCUUGCAUAUUAGAACAAAGCAAAAGCACCCAACCUUGUUGGGCCUGGGGGUAUAUUUGGAAAUCUAAACAACUUCAAUGGACACCAUGAAAUAUCCAUUUCAC